rnacentral:rRNA from 1 species
UACCUACGGGAGGCAGCAGUAGGGAAUUUUCGUCAAUGGGCGCAAGCCUGAACGAGCAAUGCCGCGUGAACGAGGAAGGUCUUCGGAUCGUAAAGUUCUGUUGAAGGGGAAAAAGAGCGGAGAGAGGAAAUGGUCUCCGAUUGAUAUUACCCUUCGAGGAAGUCACGGCUAACUACGUGCCAGCAGCCGCGGUAAUACGUAGGUGGCGAGCGUUAUCCGGAGUGAUUGGGCGUAAAGGGUGCGUAGGCGGUCGAUUAAGUCUGGAGUGAAAGGUACCGGCUCAACCGGUAUAGGCUCCGGAAACU